rnacentral:rRNA from 1 species
AACGAACGCUGGCGGCAGGCUUAACACAUGCAAGUCGAACGCCCCGCAAGGGGUGUGGCAGACGGGUGAGUAGCGAGUGGGAACAUACCCUUUCCUGCGGAAUAGCUCCGGGAAACAGGAAUUAAUACUGCACACGCCCUACGGGGGCAAGAUUUAUCGGGGAAGGGUUGGCCCGCGUUGGAUUAGCUAGCUGGUGGGGUAAAGGCCUACCAAGGCGACGAUCCAUAGCUGGUCUGAGAGGAUGAUCAGCCACAGUGAGACUGAGACACGGCCCAAACUCCUACGGGAGGCAGCAGUGGGGAAUAUUGGACAGUGGGCGCAAGCCUGAUCCAGCCAUGCCGCGUGAGUGAUGAAGGCCUUAGGGUUGUAAAGCUCUUUCACCGAUGAAGAUAAUGACGGUAGUCGGAGAAGAAGCCCCGGCUAACUUCGUG